rnacentral:rRNA from 1 species
CAUCCUCCAAGGCUAAAUACUCCUGACUGACCGAUAGUGAACCAGUACCGUGAGGGAAAGGCGAAAAGAACCCCGGCGAGGGGAGUGAAAAAGAACCUGAAACCGUGUACGUACAAGCAGUGGGAGCCCCACCACUAAGCCAGUGGUGAACUCCACAUACGCUCCUUUGCUGAGGAUACGGUUAACGGAGCGCAAGCGACGUUCAACCGCAAAAGAAGCAGAGGGGGCUUAGUGGUGGGGUGACUGCGUACCUUUUGUAUAAUGGGUCAGCGACUUAUAUUCUGUAGCAAGGUUAACCGUAUAGGGGAGCCGGAGGGAAACCGAGUCUUAAUUGGGCGUUAAGUUGCAGGGUAUAGACCCGAAACCCGGUGAUCUAGCCAUGGGCAGGUUGAAGGUUGGGUAACACUAACUGGAGGACCGAACCGACUAAUGUUGAAAAA